rnacentral:rRNA from 1 species
UACGUAGGGACCAAGCGUUGUUCGGAUUUACUGGGCGUAAAGGGCGCGUAGGCGGCAAUUCAAGUCAUCUGUGAAAUCUCCGAGCUUAACUCGGAACGGUCAGAUGAUACUGCUUUGCUAGAGUGCAGAAGGGGCAAUCGGAAUUCUUGGUGUAGCGGUGAAAUGCGUAGAUAUCAAGAGGAACACCUGAGGUGAAGACGGGUUGCUGGGCUGACACUGACGCUGAGGCGCGAAAGCUAGGGUAGCAAACGGG